GGUUUAAUUACCCAAGUUUAAGGUAGUUGAAUGUUUCAACCCAGAGUUUAGGCUAUUGUGGCUUGAAGUAAAAUUUUGGAACGUCCUGCAUAUUUCUGGGACACC
rfam:Brugia malayi, FR3, WGS project CAPY01000000 data, contig: ctg1509909m